rnacentral:lncRNA from 7 species
UAAUAAAAACAGUGUCAACACUCAACAAGCAUACACAGGAAACUUUUGUUGAUCAGUUGAUUUCAAAGUUAGUAGCAUGAAAAAAAUCAUGAGUACAUACAGAAGCAAUAUGAUUACUGAAGAAACUUAAACGUCUAUGGGGAAGCCAUCUGAUGAUCAACAUAUUUUUUUCUUAAUUUGAAACAGCAACGUCAUUUGAAAGACUUCAAUAGCAAUUGUUACUUCAAAAUCCUUACAUCAAUACUCAUUAACAUAUCUUCACAACCCUCUGAAGUCAGAGUUACUAAGUUUGAAA